GAUAGAGGCCUACCAUGGUGGUAACGGGUAACGGGGUGUUAGGGCACGACACCGGAGAGGGAGCCUGAGAAACGGCUACCACAUCCAAGGAUGGCAGCAGGCGCGCAAAUUACCUAAUCCCGACACGGGGAGGUAGUGACAAUAAAUAACAAUACGGGGUUCUUUCGGAUCUCGUAAUUGGAAUGAGUACAAUUUAAAUCUCUUAACGAGGAACAAUUGGAGGGCAAGUCUGGUGCCAGCAGCCGCGGUAAUUCCAGCUCCAAUAGCGUAUAUUAAAGUUGUUGCAGUUAAAAAGCUCGUAGUUGAAUUUCGGGGUUAGUAGGUUGGUCAUGCCUCUGGUAUGUACUGGUCUCACUGAUUCCUCCUUCCUUAUGAACCGUAAUGCCAUUAAUUUGGUGUUGCGGGGAAUUUGGACUGUUACUUUGAAAAAAUUAGAGUGUUUAAAGCAAGCUAACGCUUGAAUACAUUAGCAUGGAAUAAUGAAAUAGGACGUUCGAUCUUAUUUUGUUGGCUUCUAGGAUUGACGUAAUGAUUAAUAGGGAUAGUUGGGGGCAUUAGUAUUCAAUUGUCAGAGGUGAAGUUCUUGGAUUUAUUGAAGACUAACUACUGCGAAAGCAUUUGCCAAGGAUGUUUUCAUUAAUCAAGAACGAAAGUUAGGGGAUCGAAGACGAUCAGAUACCGUCGUAGUCUUAACCAUAAACUAUGCCGACUAGGGAUCGGAUGA
rnacentral:rRNA from 1 species